rnacentral:rRNA from 1 species
GUGAGGAAUAUUGGUCAAUGGACGAGAGUCUGAACCAGCCAAGUCGCGUGAAGGAAGACGGUUCUAUGAAUUGUAAACUUCUUUUGUGCAGGAAUAAAGUGGGUUACGUGUAACCUUUUGUAUGUACUGUACGAAUAAGGAUCGGCUAACUCCGUGCCAGCAGCCGCGGUAAUACGGAGGAUCCGAGCGUUAUCCGGAUUUAUUGGGUUUAAAGGGUGCGUAGGUGGAUUGAUAAGUCAGCGGUGAAAGUUUGCAGCUUAACUGUAAAAUUGCCGUUGAAACUGUCGGUCUUGAGUGCAAAUGAGGUAGGCGGAAUGUGUUGUGUAGCGGUGAAAUGCUUAGAUAUAACACAGAACUCCGAUUGCGAAGGCAGCUUACUGGGAUGCAACUGACACUGAUGCAGGAAAGCGUGGGUAUCAAACAGGAUUAGAUACCCUGGUAGUCC